UACAGAGGUCUCAAGCGUUGUUCGGAUUCAUUGGGCGUAAAGGGUGCGUAGGCGGUGUCGUAAGUCGGAUGUGAGAUCCCGGGGCUUAACUUCGGAACUGCAUUCGAUACUGCGAUACUCGAGGACUCGAGAGGAGAUUGGAAUUCACGGUGUAGCAGUGAAAUGCGUAGAUAUCGUGAGGAAGACCAGUGGCGAAGGCGGAUCUCUGGAGAGUUCCUGACGCUGAGGCACGAAAGCCAGGGGAGCGAACGGG
rnacentral:rRNA from 1 species